GAGAGUAGGCCUCUCGAUUUCGGCGACCAGCCGCUGGAAUCAAACCACCCUGUGCGGCAUAGGUUAAAAGCCUUUGUCGUGAGCGACAGGGAAAAAGGCGGUCAUUGAGCCGUCAGGU
rfam:Methylobacter tundripaludum SV96 genomic scaffold Mettuscaffold_1, whole genome shotgun sequence.